AUGUGGGGUACCUUUCGGGUGUGGGAUGCUCGUUUAACUUCUGUAUUCAUCUUGUUCCUUAUUUACCUGGGUGCACUGCGUUUUCAAAAGCUUCCUGUCAAACCGGCUCCUAUUUCAAUCUGUGUUGGACCGAUCGAUAUACCAAUAAUAAAGUCUCCAGUCAACUGGCAGAAUACAUCGCAUCAACCUGGGAGCAUUAGCCGAUCUGGUACAUCAAUACAUGUUCCUAUGCCCAUUCCAAUCUUGUCUAACUUUGCUAACUUCCCCUUCUCUACCCGUAUCUUGUUCGUUCUGGAAACACAUCUUCCUAUUCCAUCUUUUCCCGAAUCUCCCUUAACGGAAGAAAUAGAAGCUCGAGAAGGAAUACCGCUAAAAACCUAG
rnacentral:rRNA from 1 species